rnacentral:rRNA from 1 species
GCACAAGCGGUGGAGCAUGUGGUUUAAUCGAAGCAACGCGAAGAACCUUACCAGGUCUUGACAUCCCGAUGCUAUUUCUAGAGAUAGAAAGUUACUUCGGUACAUCGGUGACAGGUGGUGCAUGGUUGUCGUCAGCUCGUGUCGUGAGAUGUUGGGUUAAGUCCCGCAACGAGCGCAACCCCUAUUGUUAGUUGCCAUCAUUCAGUUGGGCACUCUAGCGAGACUGCCGGUAAUAAACCGGAGGAAGGUGGGAUGACGUCAAAUCAUCAUGCCCCUUAUGACCUGGGCUACACACGUGCUACAAUGGUUGGUACAACGAGUUGCGAGUCGGUGACGGCGAGCUAAUCUCUUAAAGCCAAUCUCAGUUCGGAUUGUAGGCUGCAACUCGCCUACAUGAAGUCGGAAUCGCUAGUAAUCGCGGAUCAGCACGCCGCGGUGAAUACGUUCCCGGGCCUU